ACUUCAACUCCAAUGGUGAGGAGGCGCAGGAAGGUGGGACCUCCAGCGUCGUGGUGAGGGGAAUCUGCACCGCACCCCACUGUCCAUGCCGCCUCCACCAGUUCCUGUCCAUCCAUCCAAUUCCCGUCCAUCCCUUUGCUGCAAUCCAAUCUAGGAACGAGUAGGAUUUCCUGCAGUUCAACCAAGCUUUGCCCAAGUGACAGAUUGCAAGAUUAUUCAUCUACUACUAUGUGGCUGGUUGAACUCCGGAUCUGAGAAGGCAACUAUGUAUUAGCUGUGUCUUGCAUUUUGACAAAAUAAAGCUAGCGUGUUAGCAGUAAG